rnacentral:lncRNA from 1 species
GUUUAUUUUAUUAUUUGUUUAUUUUAUCAUUUAUUUAUUUUACUAUUUAAUUUAUCAUUUGCUUAUUAUAUUUUAUUAUUUGUUUUUGUUGUUUUUUUUUUGUUUUUGUUUUUUUUUUGUUUUUGUUUUUUUUUUUUUUUUUUUUUUUUUUUUUUUUUUUUUUUUUUUUUUUUGUUUUUGUUUUUUUUUUGUUUAAAAACCUUAUUAUAUAUUAAAGAUGAUAAAAAUGCAUACAACACAGUUAUAAAUAUUAUGCAUAUACUCUCGCAUAUGUUUAAAUAAUUAAAUCUGUUUAUGUAUGCAGAUAUAUAUUUAUUGUAUGAUCGGUCUUAACAUCAUAUCUACAAAAAAAAAAAAAAAAAAAAAUAAAAUAAAAAAAAAGAAUGCAUCACAAAUUAUAUAUUUAUCACAAAAUUAUUACAAUUUAUUAGACAGGUUAAUUGUUAUGUCAAUGUACUUACAACAAAGGAAAAGUUAAAAAUAAAAGAUAUAUAUGUGCAUGUUAAAAUAUGCGCUACUGCAUAUGAUAUUGCAAAAAGAAUAAAAUUUUUAAAUUAUAUAUAUAUAUAUAUUAAAACAUAUUAUAAACAAAAUGAUAAGAAUAAACGGUAUGUUGUACUACCUUUCUUUAUUUUUGAUUUUGGUACUAUUUGUGAGUAAAAAUGGAGUAGGAGGCAAAGCGUUUCAAGGCGAAUUUAGUAUAAAUAAGAAAGAAAAAAUACAUUAUUUAACAAAAUUUAGUUGUAAUAUCGGUACAUGUGAAUUUAAAAUUAAAAUGAAACUGAAAGACAAUAUCUUUGCAAAGUUGCUUGAUACUUAUCAUACAAUGAAUAACAAAGAAUCAGGUAGUAAUAGUAUCAGUAAAAGUAGUAGUGAAAAAAAACCAUUACUAAUGAAUUUUGAUAAUGCAUAUUAUGUAUUAACUAACACUACGGUAACGCCUAGGGGUCAAAGAAUUACUUUAGUACAGGAUAUUGAACAAAAAUUAAUAAAAAAAAAUAAUAAAUGUUAUUCGCUAGGUAAUUUACGUCAUGUGUAUAAGUUUAAUAUACCUUUUUAUUUCAAAUAUAAUGAUUUAGUAAACAUAAAAACAUACAGCUUAAAAAAUUUUUUAAACCCUAAGUACUCUUUAUCACUAUAUUCUAUUUUUAAUGAAUUAAAAAAUAACAAAAAAUUACAAUCCGAAAUUUUGAAUAAAAGUGUUCUGCUUAAUAAUAUUAAUGAGCGUUAUGUAUAUCAAAAUAUAGAUGCAAAAACAUUUAAUCGUGUUCAUGUAUGGUUUUUAAUGUUUGAUGAUUGUUUUGAUACUUUUAUUUAUAAUUUAAAAAACAAUAUAAAAUCGAAAUUAGCAUAUUGGGAAUAUUUAAUAGAAGCAUCUAAAAAUACUGACAUAUCUAAUUUAUCAUUUAUAGAUCUAAUAAACACUGAUUCAAUAACAGAUGGCGAUGACCGAUUUUAUACCACUUAUAAUUUUGAUAAAAAUGCUCUUUUGUACAACCCUAAAAGACUUUUAUUUUUAGAAAAUAAAUACUCACGAAGUGAAAUAGCCGAUAUAUCUUUUUUUAUUAAAUUUCAUAAUUUUAAUAAUAUGAAAAACUUUACCAAUAUGUAUAAUAAUUUAUAUAAAAGCGGAUUUUAUGAACGAGUAAUUGAUUAUAUAUAUGAAAAUGAAGGAUUUAAAGUAGAAUAUGAAGUAAAUAUAUUACAAACGAAUAAUUCCCAUUUCUCAUACGAACUUUUAUAUUCUCCUUUUUUUACUUUCAUUUUAACUAUUUUAUAUAUUCUUCUAAUUUUAAAAUAUGGAAAUAAAAUUAUUCAAAAUGUACUAUCACCAAAUUCAAAAAAAAGACAUGCAAUGGUUAUAAGUGUAGGUGUUGUAAUGUGUACAUAUUUAAUAGCCAACUCUCUAUUACUUAUACAUUUAUUAGUAUAUUCGAGGAAUGGUGUUGGAAUACCACUGUUUAAAAUGUCUUAUGACAUAUUAAAUUUUUUAUCUCAAAUUAUUAUGUGCACUAUGCUCCUCUCAUUAAGUUAUGGCUUAACCAUUUUCGAAGCAUCCUUUAACAUUUACACCAGAAUUAAAGUUAUAUUUAGCGUUAUUACUUCUUUCCACAUUGUUUUAGUCAUACUGGAUAAUACUGCAAUAAGUGAUUCCUCAUCUAAAUUUUUUGAUAAUGAUAAUAUAACAGGUUAUAUAAUACUAGGGUUAAGAGUAUUAUUAGCUGUGAUAUAUCAUAUUAAUUUAAAUAGUUUGUUUCUUAAGGCUAAAAUUCCACAAAUACGUAGCUUUUUAAAAAAAAUAUAUGUAUAUGGUUUAUUUUAUAUAUUAUCGUUUCCUAUCAUUUUUUUGGUAUGUUAUAUGUUUGAUACAUAUUGGAGACAAAGAUUUAUGUUAUUCGGAACAGCCUUUUUACAAUUCCUCGCUACUUAUUUUAUUACGAAAAUGUUCUUAACAAACUCAGAAUAUUUUAAAGUUUCAGACAUGUCAGCUAGCGAUUUACCUGGGGCUACCUCUAGUUGGUUUUUUACUCAGAAAGCUCACGGAUGUUAAAAAUAUACCCAUUAUAUAUAUAUAUAUUUAUAUAUAUAUAU